GAAAUGCAAUCAUCGCCCUCCUGUAUGCCUGUCACCUCCAAUCGCUGGACAGAUACUACCAAUAAGUUCUCUAGCACCUACGUCUACCGUAAUGAAAUGCUUUAUUGCAGUUAGUAAUGGAUGGAACUUAUUGCUACUGAACCCGCUCUAGUUCGCAAAAGGUCCGCAGCGACACAAUCUCAUUGGCUCUCCACCCUGCUUUGGAGAACCUAGUCAACAAAAUCACAGGCGCUCUUCAAGGAUGCGUGUUUCGCCUACUGCUUCACUCUCUACAUCUACACUGUUGACUGUAUGGGAUAUUUCCCACUUCCUGAGCAAUCUUUACAGGAAAGACCAUCAAAUAGAAGAGCUCAAGAUGCAGAUUUGAGCAAGAGGAUUGGAUUGAAAAUUGGAUCUUUGGGAAAAAGGAAAAGAAAUCGGAUGGCAGAGAAGAAGCAGGUCCUGAGUUGCUGAAUGUGUGCCUUCAGGCUUCUGUACCUCCUUCCUGGUUGUAACGAGAAGAGGACAAGUCCUGCGAGGUAGGAGUCCUUGAUGAUGGAAACCGCUCUUCUGAGGCACCGCUCCUUAAAGUUGUCUUGGGUACUAUGGAGGCUAGUGCCCAUGGUAGAGCUGACUAAUUUUACAACUGUGCAGCUUACUUUGCUCCUGUGCAGUAGCCUCCACCCUCCUCCCCUGCCCCCCAUACCACCUUAAGUUAGUGGGUGGAUGUGUUGAUCAGCCUUGCUCCUUAGGAAAAGCAACAAUUUUUGAGCCUGGUGGUCCUGGCAUGGAUGCGAUGUAGUUGAAAAACAACUAUUCACUACUAUGCUAUGUUAACUGUUUGUUCACCAUUUUUUAAUCAAUGCUUCUAAAGUACCUUUUAUUUUGUGGCUUCAGUCCUUUGACAAGCCCAUUAUCCAGUGCUUUAUCAAAUGCCCUUUGAAAGGCUUCAUACAUAAUGUCAAUUGCAUUGUUCUCACCAACAUUCAAUUACUCAUAUCAGCCGAUUUAAAUAUAUCACAAUUUGCUUAUCUUCCCUAAUGAACCCAUUCUUCAACACACACAAUAUGCUGGAGGAACUUGGCAGGCCUGGCACCAUCAAUGGAAAAAAAAGCACAAUUGACAUUUUGGGCUGAAAACCUUCAGAAGGAUUGGAGAAAAAAAGCUGAAGAGUAGCCUUAAAAGGUGAGGGAAUGGGAGAGAGAACCAUCAGGUGAUAGGUGAAACCUUGAGGGGGAGGAUGAAGUAAAGAGCUGGGAAGUUGAUUUUUGCUACUUCCAGAAGGCCUGGAAGAAACAAAAAGGGGGAAGGAGCACUAGAGGGAGGGCAGGCAAGGAGAUGAGGUGAGAGUGGGAGAAGGGGAUGGGAAAUAGAAAAUGCGGUGGGGGGGGGUUGGGGGCAUUACUGAAAGUUUGAGAAAUUGAUGGUCAUGCCAUCAGGUUGGAGGCUACCCAAACGUAAUAUAAGGUGUUGUUCCUCCAACCUCAGUGUGGCCUCAUCAUGCCAGUAGAGGAGGCCAUGGAUAGACAUAUUGGAAUGGGAAGUGGAAUUAAAAUGGGUGGCCAUUCUUCUUCAAUUGACUGUCAUCACUAAUUAUUAUUUCUCAAAGUUUCCACACCACUGAAGUUAAACUGACUAACUGGUUGUUACUGUAAACCAUUACAGCAUUUUUUUUUGGAUAGAGUAUAACAUCUGUUUUGAUCCAUUCUUCAAGUACACUUCAGCAAAUAUUUGUAAAAUUAUGGCUAACACCCUUGUACUCCCACACAUAUUUCCAUCAACAAUAUAGGAUCUAGAGUAGAUAAUUUAUCCUCUUUAAGUACAGUACUGUUAUUUUUGAGUAACAGUUGAAAAUGAACCAUUUUUGAAACAGAAUUGAAACCUGAGAAAUGGAAGUGGUCCACCAUUCCAUAAGAUUAUUGCUGAAGUGAUCUUGGCAUCAACUCUACUUCCAAUCCCUUUAUUUCUCAAUUUAGAAUCCCAAAACCUUUCUAUUACAAUCUAAAAUAUACUUAAUGGGAUGGAGAAUUUCAAAAUAUUUCAUC